GUUUGAUUAUGGCUCAGGAUGAACGCUGGCGGCAUGCCUAAUACAUGCAAGUCGAACGGAGUGAAGCCUUCGGGUUUCAUUCAGUGGCGAACGGGUGAGUAAUACGCAGGGAACCUGGCCAUGGCAGGGGGAUACACUCUGGAAACGGAGCAUAAGACCCCAUAGGCAGUAAGGCGGCAUCGCCUUACUGUUAAAGAAAGCUGAAAGGCUUUGGCGAUGGAUGGACCUGCGGUGCAUUAGCUUGUUGGUGAGGCAACGGCUUACCAAGGCGAUGAUGCAUAGCCGGCCUGAGAGGGCGGACGGCCACACUGGGACUGAGACACGGCCCAGACUCCUGCGGGAGGCAGCAGUAGGGAAUUUUCGUCAAUGGGCGCAAGCCUGAACGAGCAAUGCCGCGUGAGUGAGGAAGGUCUUCGGACUGUAAAGCUCUGUUGCCGGGGAAAAAGGGGAAAUGCAGGAAAUGGCAUUUCAUGGAUGGUACCCGGCCAGAAAGCCACGGCUAACUACGUGCCAGCAGCCGCGGUAAUACGUAGGUGGCGAGCGUUAUCCGGAAUGAUUGGGCGUAAAGGGUGCGCAGGCGGUCUGUUAAGUCUGAAGGCAAAGGGAUGAGCUCAACUCAUUUAUGAUUCAGAAACUGGCAGACUUGAGGACAGGAGAGGGCGGUGGAACUCCAUGUGUAGCGGUAAAAUGCGCAGAGAUAUGGAAGAACACCAGUGGCGAAGGCGGCCGCCUGGCCUGUGACUGACGCUGAGGCACGAAAGCGUGGGGAGCAAAUAGGAUUAGAUACCCUAGUAGUCCACGCCGUAAACGAUGAGGAGCAGGUGUUGGGAGUGAAAUCUCAGUGCCGAAGCCAACGCAGUGACUCCUCCGCCUGGGGAGUAUGCACGCAAGUGUGAAACUCAAAGGAAUUGACGGGGGCCCGCACAAGCGGUGGAGUAUGUGGUUUAAUUCGAAGCAACGCGAAGAACCUUACCAGGUUUUGACAUCGGAUGCGAAGGCGCAGAGAUGCGCUGGAGGCUAUCAUCCAGACAGGUGGUGCAUGGUUGUCGUCAGCUCGUGUCGUGAGAUGUUCAGUUAAGUCUGGCAACGAGCGCAACCCCCGUGGUAUGUUACUAACGCUUUAGGGCGAGGACUCAUAUCAGACUGCCGGUGACAAACCGGAGGAAGGCGGGGAUGACGUCAAAUCAUCAUGCCCCUUAUGACCUGGGCUACACACGUACUACAAUGGCGUCUACAGAGGGAAGCGACCCUGAGAAGGGAAGCGAAACCGGAAAAGGGCGUCCCAGUUCGGAUUGAAGUCUGCAACCCGACUUCAUGAAGAUGGAAUCGCUAGUAAUCGCGGAUCAGCAUGCCGCGGUGAAUACGUUCCCGGGCCUUGUACACACCGCCCGUCAAACCAUGGAAGCCGGCAACGCCCGAAGCCGGUGGCAUAACCUUUUAGGAGUGAGCCGUCGAAGGCGGGGCCGAUGACUGGGGUUAAGUCGUAACAAGGUAACC
rnacentral:rRNA from 1 species